GACGAACGUUGGCGGCGUGCUUAACACAUGCAAGUCGAACGGAAAGGCCCUGCUUUUGUGGGGUGCUCGAGUGGCGAACGGGUGAGUAACACGUGAGUAACCUGCCCUUGACUUUGGGAUAACUUCAGGAAACUGGGGCUAAUACCGGAUAGGAGCUCCUGCUGCAUGGUGGGGGUUGGAAAGUUUCGGCGGUUGGGGAUGGACUCGCGGCUUAUCAGCUUGCUGGUGGGGUAGUGGCUUACCAAGGCUUUGACGGGUAGCCGGCCUGAGAGGGUGACCGGCCACAUUGGGACUGAGAUACGGCCCAGACUCCUACGGGAGGCAGCAGUGGGGAAUAUUGCACAAUGGGCGGAAGCCUGAUGCAGCAACGCCGCGUGCGGGAUGACGGCCUUCGGGUUGUAAACCGCUUUCGCCUGUGACGAAGCGUGAGUGACGGUAAUGGGUAAAGAAGCACCGGCUAACUACGUGCCAGCAGCCGCGGUGAUACGUAGGGUGCGAGCGUUGUCCGGAUUUAUUGGGCGUAAAGGGCUCGUAGGUGGUUGAUCGCGUCGGAAGUGUAAUCUUGGGGCUUAACCCUGAGCGUGCUUUCGAUACGGGUUGACUUGAGGAAGGUAGGGGAGAAUGGAAUUCCUGGUGGAGCGGUGGAAUGCGCAGAUAUCAGGAGGUACACCAGUGGCGAAGGCGGUUCUCUGGGCCUUUCCUGACGCUGAGGAGCGAAAGCGUGGGGAGCGAACAGGCUUAGAUACCCUGGUAGUCCACGCUGUAAACGGUGGGUACUAGGUGUGGGGUCCAUUCCACGGGUUCCGUGCCGUAGCUAACGCUUUAAGUACCCCGCCUGGGGAGUACGGCCGCAAGGCUAAAACUCAAAGGAAUUGACGGGGCCCCGCACAAGCGGCGGAGCAUGCGGAUUAAUUCGAUGCAACGCGUAGAACCUUACCUGGGUUUGACAUGGAUCGGGAGUGCUCAGAGAUGGGUGUGCCUCUUUUGGGGUCGGUUCACAGGUGGUGCAUGGCUGUCGUCAGCUCGUGUCGUGAGAUGUUGGGUUAAGUCCCGCAACGAGCGCAACCCUUGUUCACUGUUGCCAGCACGUUAUGGUGGGGACUCAGUGGAGACCGCCGGGGUCAACUCGGAGGAAGGUGGGGAUGACGUCAAGUCAUCAUGCCCCUUAUGUCCAGGGCUUCACGCAUGCUACAAUGGCUGGUACAGAGAGUGGCGAGCCUGUGAGGGUGAGCGAAUCUCGGAAAGCCGGUCUCAGUUCGGAUUGGGGUCUGCAACUCGACCUCAUGAAGUCGGAGUCGCUAGUAAUCGCAGAUCAGCAACGCUGCGGUGAAUACGUUCCCGGGGCU
rnacentral:rRNA from 1 species